CCUACGGGAGGCAGCAGUGGGGGAUAUUGCACAAUGGGGGAAACCCUGAUGCAGCGACGCCGCGUGUGGGAAGACGGUCCUCUGGAUUGUAAACCACUGUCCCCAGGGACGAAGAUGACGGUACCUGGGGAGGAAGCUCCGGCUAACUACGUGCCAGCAGCCGCGGUAAUACGUAGGGAGCGAGCGUUGUCCGGAAUUACUGGGUGUAAAGGGAGCGUAGGCGGGACUGCAAGUGGGGUGUCAAAGCGACCGGCUCAACCGGUAGCCGCACUCAAAACUGCAGUUCUUGAGUGAAGUAGAGGCAGGCGGAAGUCCUAGUGUAGCGGUGAAAUGCGUAGAUAUUAGGAGGAACACCAGUGGCGAAGGCGGCCUGCUGGGCUUUUACUGACGCUGAGGCUCGAAAGUGUGGGGAGCAAACAGGAUUAGAUACCCCUGUAGUC
rnacentral:rRNA from 1 species